rnacentral:piRNA from 1 species
UGAAACACACAAAGAUUGCUAUGUACAC